rnacentral:lncRNA from 1 species
UUAAUUCUUAUCUUAGCUAGCUUGUUAUUGCUUGUUUUCUUAUUCAUUGUUUUGAAUUUUAGGCCCCCCUUAUCUUUUUAUAAUCUUCUCUGGCAUAUGUGUAUAUAUAUGUUAAGAUUAAAUUAUUUAUAUUUUUAUUCAAUAAUUACCUUUUGGGUUUGAUUUUAUUGUAGGGUGAACUAAAUCUGCAGUCUGCACGGGCGGGGGUAUCUGGUUUAUUGAUAAGUCACGAAUGAAGUCUACAAAGAGAAUAAGGCUGCUACUUUUGGCUUAUUGUCCUAAAAAUAUCUUCUAUUACUCUAAAAUAAAGCCUGAGAUAUUUUAUUGGCAUUUUGCAUUUUACAUUAUUAUACAAGUCAUUCUAAUUAUAUGUGUUGCAAUGUAAACAUAUAUGAUAUUUACGUGUGCAAAGUGAAUGUCCUUUCUUUAUUCUUAUGGGUAAAUUAAAAUCUUGAUUGAAUAAUUUGUUUUCUUAAUCUUGAUUUAGGUCAACAUAUAAAAUUAUAAACAUACAAAAUUAUGAGUCAAUUACUUAAUAGUUAACAUUACUUAAUUAAUAAAUUUUUCUUGGUUAUAAUAAUAUUAUUUUAUUAGUGUUCUAUUGUAUUGUGUUCUGUAUAAGAUUAGGAUAGGAUUUGAAUUAAUAACGAAAAAAUGAAUGAAAUAAUCCUAAUUAAUAAUAUCAUGAUUUUUAAAAAGAAUAAUGUCAGGGAUCCCAACAAUUGAGUUGAUAUAUUAUUCAUCUAGUGAAUGGUAGAAUAUUAUUUUAGACUUAAAUAUAAAAAUUUCAAUCAUUAUUGUUUUAACAAUAAUUUCAUAUGUAUAAAUUAUUCAUAUGAAAUUACAUUUAACAAUAUGAAUAGAGUUGUAUAAAUUUAAAUUGAAUAAAAUUAUUAGAGUGAAAAUAAAUGAGUAUAUAUGAUGUGAGAAAUGGGAGAAUGAUAUUAAAUUCACAUUCAUCUUUAUUAAAAUAGAAAAAAAAAAUUGAAGCUGUCUUUAAUUUCUCUCAUCGCUUAAUGAGUAGCUACGAUUGAGUUUUGUAUUUUGAUGUCAAUAAUUAAGUCAGCCAUUUUUCACUAUAUUAUAAUGAUAAUGAGAGGAAAGGAAAGAAAAAAACAAAAAGAGGAUCAUAAUUCUUAAUUAAAACCCGACAAAGAUAAGAGAAAGAUUAUUCUCAUUUAGAGAAAGACAUGUACUAUGGUGAAUGGUCUCCAAAUUAGAGAACCACAAAGGAGAGGUUGUCAGGAUAAGGUUUAUAAAAGGACAAGCUGAAACUGUCGCAAAUGAAAGAGAACAAGGCUGCUGCUUUUGUUUUAGGAUUUUGCUAUGUUACAUUGAAUGUACCAUACACAACUAAUAAGAACCACACAAUUAUGUGGGUCCCACAAUUUAUGUGGUUCUUAUUGGUUGUGUAUGGUACAUUUAAUGUAACAUAGAGGCUCCCUUUGUUUUAUUGUCCUAAAAAUAUCUUCUAUUACUCUAAAAUAAAGCCUGAGAUAUUUUAUUGGCAUUUUGCAUUUUACAUUAUUAUACAAGUCAUUCUAAUAAAAUGAACUUUUGUUAUGUGUUGCAAUGUAAACAUAUAUGAUAUUUACGUGUGCAAAGUGAAUGUCCUUUCUUUAUUCUUUUGUACCUACAAUAUAAUCUGGAUAAAUUAAAAUCUUGAUUGAAUAAUUUUUUUUCUUAAUCUUGAUUUAGGUCAACAUACAAAAUUAUGCGUCAAUUACUUAACAUUACUUAAUUAAUAAUUUUUUCUUGGUUCUAAUAAUAUUAUUUUAUUAGUGUUCUAUUGUAUUGUGUUCCAUGUAAGAUUAAGAUAGGAUUUGAAUUAAUAAUGGAAAAAAUGUAUAAAAUAAUCCUAAUUAAUAAUAUCAUGGGAUAAGAGCUUUGUGUCAGGGAACUUUAAUAAUUCAGUUGCAAUGUGUGGACCAGGUUGAUAAUGUCCAUUUGUGAUCACUAUGGCAAGAAAGUCAAUUGAUUCCUUUGAACUGGUUCAGAAUUUUGGUGGAAUAAUGUUAAGGAUCCCGACAAUUGGGUUGAUAUAUUAUUCAUCUAGUGAAUGGUAGAAAAUUAUUUUUAUCAAAAUUCACUAUCUGAUGGAUGAAUGUCACAUAACAAUUUAGACUUAAAUGUAAAAAUUUCAAUCAUUAUUGUUUUAACAAUAAUUUCAUAUGAAUUUAUCAAAAUUAUAUUUAACAAUAUGAACAGACUUGUAUGAAUUUAAAUCGAAUAAAAUUGUUGGAGUGAAAAUAAAUGAGUAUAUAUGAUGUGAGAAAUGGGAGAAUGGUAUUAAAUUAAAGAAAUUUCUAAAUUCAGCCUUAAAUUUCCAGCAGCCAUUUCAGGCUUGAGGGGGAGAGGGCGGCAUUGGUAGUAUUAGCCAAAAUUUUCGAUGGAGCCCACCUCAUUUUUGUAUUCUAUAUAAACGUCAUAGAACCAGAUUAGCAAGCAAUGCAUAAACCAUAAUUACAAUGGCACAGUGUCUCUUGCAACAGUGCUAUUGUUAUUGUUGGCUGCCACUAUGGCUCCCCUGAAUGCAGCAACAGCAAUAACAUGUGAGCAAGUGACAAUCUGGCUGACACCAUGCAUCAGCUAUAGUGUAUUAGGUGGGGUUGUUCAGCCAGCUUGUUGUGAUGGCAUUAGAGCUUUGAAUGCUGCUUCAAAAACCACAGAAGAUAGAAGGACCCAAUGUAAUUGUGUGAAGGAAGGCGCUGCUAGGAUCCCUGGUCUCGACUAUGAUCGUGUUAAUAUGCUUCCUGACAUUUGUGGGAGUAAAUGUCCUUAUAAACUUACACAUGAUCUUGAUUGCUCUAAGUACGCCCUUAAUUCUUAUCCUAGCUAGCCUGUUAUUGCUUGUUUUCUUAUUCAUUGUUUUGAAUUUUAGGCCCUUUCCGAGCCGAUCAUUUACCCUUAUCUUUUUAUAUUCUUCUCUGGCAUAUGUGAAUAUAUAUGUUAAGAUUAAAUUAUUUAUAUUUUUAUUCAAGAAUUACCAUCACAAUAUUAAAAAAAAUCUUAACACAAUCUCUUGACCAAUUAAUUUUUACCUUUUGGGUUUGAUUUUAUUGUAGGGUGAGUUAAAUUUGCAGUCUGCACAGGCAGGGGUAUCUGGUUUAUUGAUAAGUCACGAAUGAAGUCUACAAAGAGAAUAAGGCUGCUACUUUUGGCUUAUUGUCCUAAAAAUAUCUUCUAUUACUCUAAAAUAAAGCCUGAGAUAUUUUAUUGGCAUUUUGAAUUUUACAUUAUUAUACAAGUCAUUCUAAUGAUAUGUAUUGCAAUGUAAACAUAUAUGAUAUUUACGUGUGCAAAGUGAAUGUCCUUUCUUUAUUCUUAUGGGUAAAUUAAAAUCUUGAUUGAAU